rnacentral:tRNA from 1 species
GCAUUGGUGGUAUAGUGGUGAGCAUAGCUGCCUUCCAAGCAGUUGACCCCAGUUCGAUUCCUGGCCAAUUCA